rnacentral:rRNA from 1 species
UACGUGAGGUGACAAGCGUUGUCCGGAUUACUGGGCGUAAAGAGCGCGCAGGCGGUCGUUCAAGUCGGAGUGUGAAAGCCCCCGGCUCAACUGGGGAGGGUCAUUCGAUACUGAUCGACUCGAAGGCAGGAGAGGGUAGUGGAAUUCCCGGUGUAGUGGUGAAAUGCGUAGAGUAUCGGGAGGAACACCAGUGGCGAAGGCGACUACCUGG